rnacentral:rRNA from 1 species
AUUGAACGCUGGCGGCAUGCCUUACACAUGCAAGUCGAACGGUAACAGGUCUUCGAAUGCUGACGAGUGGCGAACGGGUGAGUAAUACAUCGGAACGUGCCUAGUAGUGGGGGAUAACUACUCGAAAGAGUGGCUAAUACCGCAUGAGAUCUACGGAUGACAGCAGGGGAUCGCAAGACCUUGUGCUACUAGAGCGGCCGAUGGCAGAUUAGGUAGUUGGUGGGAUAAAAGCUUACCAAGCCGACGAUCUGUAGCUGGUCUGAGAGGACGAUCAGCCACACUGGGACUGAGACACGGCCCAGACUCCUACGGGAGGCAGCAGUGGGGAAUUUUGGACAAUGGGCGAAAGCCUGAUCCAGCAAUGCCGCGUGCAGGAUGAAGGCCUUCGGGUUGUAAACUGCUUUUGUACGGAACGAAAAGCCCCGGGUUAAUACCCUGGGGUCAUGACGGUACCGUAAGAAUAAGCACCGGCUAACUACGUGCCAGCCGCCGCCGUUA